rnacentral:rRNA from 1 species
AUUGAACGCUGGCGGCAGGCCUAACACAUGCAAGUCGAGCGAGCGGCGGACGGGUGAGUAAUGUAUGGGGACUGCCCGAUAGAGGGGGAUAACUACUGGAAACGGUAGCUAAUACCGCAUACUAUCGGAUAACCCAGAUGGGAUUAGCUAGUGGGUGAGGUAAUGGCUCACCUAGGCGACGAUCCCUAGCUGGUCUGAGAGGAUGAUCAGCCACACGGGGACUGAGACACGGCCCAGACUCCUACGGAGGCAGCAGUGGGGAAUAUUGCACAAUGGGCGCAAGCCUGAUGCAGCAAUGCCGCGUGUAUGAAGAAGGCCUUAGGGUUGUAAAGUACUUUCAGUCGGGAGGCGUUACCUAAAGAAGAAGCCCCGGCUAACUCCGUGCCAGCAGCCGCGGUAAUAC